UGGAACCGCGACGCCCCGUUCCCUGGCCGCGGCCGCUUCUCCAGGACCCGCGGCGGCGGCAAGAGGGCGAGAACUGAGGCCCCGAGAGGCUCCGCGGCCGGCGAGCUUCUUCCUGCGGCGGCCGCUGGAGGGAGGCUGAAGCGACGGCUGUAGCGCGGGGCCAGCCCGGUGCUGUCAUUCUCUCUUGGGUCACUUACCCUGGGGAAAGCCAACUGCAUGUCAUGAGGCAGCCCUGUAGAGAGACUCACUUGGUGAGAAUUGAGGCUGCCAACAAUGUGAGUGAGCUUGGAAGUGGAUUCCCUCAUCCUCACCCCAGUCAAAUCUACAGAUGAGACUCCAGCCUCCGCCAAAGCCUGACUACAAUCUCCUGAGAUACCUUGAGCCAGAAGUGCCCAACUAAGGCAUACCCAGAUUCCUGACUCACAGAAACCGUGCUAUAAUAAAUAUCUAUUGUUUUAAGCCACUAAGUAUUGGGGUAAUUUGCCAUGUGGCAAUAGAAAACUAACACAGAUUUUGGAACCUGGAAGUGAGGUACAGUAAAAAAUAACUUAAAAUGUGAUUGUUGCUUUGAAAGAAGACGAUGACUUUGAGAAGAGUUUUAGUGAAUGUGAUACUGAACCUCUUAACCUCAAGUGUGUGCCCUAUGCACAGUAAGCCAAUCACUGAG
rnacentral:lncRNA from 1 species